UUUAUAUGACGCCGUUGACUUUUUAGGUUCAUGUUUGACCAUUCGUCUUAUUCAAAAAAAUUAUAUAAUUAUUAAUUAUUUUGUUAUAAUAUGAUUUAUUAUUAUAGAAACUUUAAUUAUGCAUUAUAAUUUUGCAUAUUUGGAUAUAAAUUUUAAAUAAGACGAAUGAUCAAACGUGAUUCUAAAAAUCAACGGUGUCAUACAUA
rfam:Oryza brachyantha chromosome 2, whole genome shotgun sequence.